rnacentral:rRNA from 1 species
ACACGUGGGUAACCUGCCUUAUAGUGGGGGAGUAGCCUUUCGAAAGGAAGAUUAAUACCGCAUAAGAUUGUGGUAUCGCAUGAUAUAGCAAUUAAAGGAGCAAUUCGCUAUAAGAUGGACCCGCGUCGCAUUAGCUAGUUGGUGAGGUAAUGGCUCACCAAGGCGACGAUGCGUAGCCGACCUGAGAGGGUGAACGGCCACAUUGGGACUGAGACACGGCCCAGACUCCUACGGGAGGCAGCAUG